CAACCAUACUGCUCGACCAAUUGCGUUACGACCUCAAAAAGUAUUUUCCUCCCAUGUUUCGCUCCCUUCCUCCCACUUCCUCAGAUAGAAAUUGCCACACUCCCAAAUUCAGAGUUCCCGCUGACCUCCCGUUACAACUGACAAUAACUGGUGCCGACCAAAACGUCAAACCAUGGUUCGAGCUCAAACAUGGAUUCUGGCCAAACAUUUCAAUGGCUUCCCCAAGGAAAGCGACUUCCAGCUCAAAGAGGAGGAGCUCCCUGAGCCUAAAGCUGGAGAGGUGCUUUUGGAGGCGUUGUUUCUAAGUGUUGAUCCUUACAUGAGGCCAUUUAGCCGCGUUCGCAUGAAAGAAGGAGAUGUGAUGAUCGGAACUCAAGUGGCCAAGGUGAUCCAGACCAACAACGCAUCAUUUCCCGUUGGGGCCCACGUGGUCAGCCGCGACGGAUGGAGAACGCACACCGUGUCGGACGGGUCCAACCUCGUUCCCGUCAUGCCCGACUGGCCUCUGGACGUUUCCUUGUCCUUGGCUCUGGGCAUCAUCGGCAUGCCUGGGCUGACGGCUCUAUAUGGAAUUGAGGAAGUCCUGGAGCUGAAAUCGGGCGAGACUCUGCUAGUGAAUGCGGCAGCGGGGGCGGUGGGCUCGGUGGUGGGGCAGAUGGCCAAAAUGAAGGGCUGCAGAGUGGUGGGCUCGGCGGGGUCGGAUGCCAAGGUGGCCUUCCUCAAAGAGCUGGGCUUCGACGAGGCCUUCAACUACAAAACGGUCGCGUCCCUGGAGGAGACUCUGAAGAAGGCCGCUCCCGACGGAUACGACUGCUUUUUUGAAAACGUUGGAGGCCCUUUCUCGAGCGUUGCCAUGUCACAGAUGAAAGAUUUCGGAAGAAUAGCCGUGUGUGGAAGUAUAUCCACGUACAAUGACACUGAGGUUCAGACAGGUGCCAUUUCCAGCAUUGAAUUGCAUUUGUCAUUCUCACAGGCCCUUAUCCUCAAAUGACCAUGAUCAUCAAGCAGCUCAAGAUGGAGGGCUUCAUGCAAAGCAGAUGGGAGUCAAAGCACCCGGAGUCCCUCAGGAGGCUCAUGGGCUGGCUGAAAGAGGGUAAACUGCAGAGCCGCGAGCACAUCACCAAAGGCUUUGAAAACAUGCCGGCAGCUUUCAUGGGCAUGCUGCGAGGAGAAAACACUGGCAAAGCUAUCGUGGCAGUCUGAUGUGAAAUCCAGGAAGAUUACUGAUCGACACUUUCGAAACACGCCUAAAUGACAACGCAACUUUUUUUUUGUUUUUUUGCAGGACAUAUUUUCAAAAUGUUAAAACAUAGAAGUCACAUGUCCGUUUUCACCACCUUCGCACAAUACUACGAUGAUGCAAUUGGCAGUAAUUAUACAUGAUGUCACAAGCUUGGCACACCUAAAGCGGAAAUAAAAAGUCUACUACACACCAA